AUGACUUUUGAAACGUGCAGGAGGGCUAGCGUUGCAAUAUUGAUCAGACUCCUGGCCUCAGGACAGUUUGGCUGUAGCUAAAUUCAUCUCAUCUCAUGGGUGUGAGAAUGACGGGACCCUGAACUUGCAGCUGGUGGCGCCUGGCAUCACAGGGAAGUCCCUGGUUUCUCUCUGCCUCUUUCUCUCUGUCUUCAGCACAACCGUCGUGCCCUCGCCUUCAGUAAACAGCAGUUUCUCUCUUUUUUCUAUCUCCCUCGCGGGUAAAAUGUACCUUCUUGGCUGCAUUUGGAUGCUGAGCUGUUGGAUUGAAAGUGCCCAGGCUGAAUCAUUGCUACAGCAGACUCCGAGGGAAAUAGUGGUGACCGAAGGUGGGCAGAUCGAACUCUCCUGUAACCUGAAGAAGGGCUCACUCGAGUGGAUUUUCUGGUACAAACUAGACGGAAACUCCCGGGCCUAUUUUCUGAAGUCUGCCACUGUCCUGAACAAACAGACCUCAGGAGAGGGAAUAACCGAGCGGUUCGUUCUAACCAAAGAUACCUUUCGACUGUCGUUCAGUUUAAGCAUAAAAGACACGCAGCAGUCAGACAACGGCACUUACUAUUGCCUGAUGGUCGAAUCCUACUCCAUGUACCUGGGAAGUGGAACUGUGGUCACAGUAGUUCCAGAACAAGAGAAAGUAACUUUGCCGCCCCCAACGACUAAAAGCGGUGGAAUCGAUCGCGUUACCCAGCCCAAGGUACGACAGAAGAAGAAAGUGGAGAGUCACGAAUCCCGGAGGCGAUGUCCCCACCAGUUUCGAAAACGGUAAUUAACACAUCAAAUCAGGACUAACGAGUGGAGGAAAGAUUGGAAUGUUAUUUCCACCAAUUGUGAACUUUUGAAAGUCAUAGUCACAACUUUAUAUUGAUGAACACAGUCUUGUCUGCAUUUCACCCUCCUGUAUCAUUGCUGUAAAAUCUCUUUUGGUUAUGAAAACUGGGAUGAAACUUGCACUCAGAGCAUACACAUUCUGUGAACCCCACUCUCAACCUCCCCUUCAUUUCCAUGGCCAUGUAAUCUCUGAGGCACAUCUCUGCACAUCUCUGUGCAUACACAUACACAAGGUGGCGUGGUGGCACAGUGGUUAGUACUGUUGCCUCACAACACCAGGGACCCAGGUUUGAUUCCAGUCUGUGUAUAGUUUGCACAUUCUCCCCGUGUCUGUGUGGGUUUCCUCCAGACGCUCUGGUUACCUCCCACAGUCCAAAGAUGUGCAGGGUAGGUGGAUUGGUGGUGCUAAAUUGCCCAUAGUGUUCAGGGAGGUGUAGAUUAGGUGGGUUUUAGGGGGAUGGGUUUGGGUGGGAUUCUCUGAGGUUCAGUGUGGACUCGUUGGGCCAAAGGGACUGUUUCAACACGAUAGGGAUUCUAUGAUGAUGAUUCAUGAGCCAUUGUCUCCUCAGAGAUUUCAUGGCCUUGGGAGUGGGGUACAAAGAGAUUUUUAGCUAGUCAUCAUAGUGGUGUGUGGGCCAGGGGGACUUUUCCUGCCUGUGAUAUUAUCACACUUCUCUUCAGAUUAAUGUUACAACGAUGGAUGUAAAAUAUUAUCUCCUAGAUGUGUUCCCCCUGUGUUUACUGUUUAAUAGUAUUUGCUUUGCUUAUUCCAUUUGCUGUUUAUACCAUAUAGAAAGUGUAAAAUACUUACUUUUGCAAUAAACAGUAAUACAGUGUUUUAAAAUUACAGUAAUUGAAAAGAAGCAACAUUUGAAGUACUGCCUACAAUUCUGGUCUCCCUACUACAGGAACGAUGUUAUUAAACUGGGAAGAGUUUACAUAAGAAUGUUUUUGUGACUGAAAGGUUUGAGUUAUAAGGAGAGACUGAAUAGACUGGGACUAUUUCCCCUGGACUGUUGGAGACUGAGAGGUGACCUUAUAGAGGUUUAUAAAAUCAUGAGGGGCAUUGAUAUUUUCAAGAUUUUAUCCAGAGGGUACGGGAGUCCAAAACUAGAGGGCAUAUGUUUAAGGUGAAAGGGGAAAGAUUUAAAAAGGACCAGAGGGGCAACAUUUUCAUACAGAGGGUGGUGCAUGUAUGGAAUGAACUGCCAGAGGAAGUAGUGGAGGCAGGUCAGUUUCAACAUUUAAAAGACAUUUGAACAGAUACAUGGAUAGGAAAGGAGAAGAGGGAUAUGGGUCAAACACAGUCAAAUGGGACUAUUUCUGUUUAGGGAACUUGGUCUGCGCAGACAAGUUGGACCAAAAGCUCUGGU